rnacentral:rRNA from 1 species
UACGAAGGGGGCUAGCGUUGUUCGGAAUUACUGGGCGUAAAGGGCGCGUAGGCGGUGCUGUAAGUCAGGCGUGAAAUCCCCGGGCUCAACCUGGGAAUUGCGCAUGAUACUGCGGCGCUGGAAUGCGGGAGAGGAUGGCGGAAUUCCCAGUGUAGAGGUGAAAUUCGUAGAUAUUGGGAAGAACACCGGUGGCGAAGGCGGCCAUCUGGCCCGUAAUUGACGCUGAGGCGCGAAAGCGUGGGGAGCAAACAGG